rnacentral:rRNA from 1 species
GUAGUCCUGGCUGUAAACGCUGCCCACUUGGUGUUGCCCUUUCCUUGGGAAGGGGCAGUGCCGGAGCGAAGGUGUUAAGUGGGCUGCUUGGGGAGUAUGGUCGCAAGGCUGAAACUUAAAGGAAUUGGCGGGAGAGCACCGCAACGGGAGGAGCGUGCGGUUUAAUUGGAUUCAACGCCGGAAAACUCACCAGGGGAGACCAUGGUAUGAGUGUCAGCCUGAAGAGCUUACACGAUCACAUGGAGAGGUGGUGCAUGGCCGUCGUCAGCUCGUACCGUAGAGCGUUCACUUAAGUGUGAUAACGAGCGAGACCCUUGCCCAUAUUUGCCACCUUCCUCGAGAGAGGAAGAGCACUAUAUGGGGACCGCUAGCGUUAAGCUAGAGGAAGGAGAGGUCAACGGCAGGUCAGUAUGCCCCGAAUCCCCUGGGCAACACGCGCGCUACAAAGGACGGAACAAUGGGUUGCAACUUCGAAAGGAGGAGCUAAUCCCGAAAUCCGUCCGUAGUUCAGACUGAGGGCUGUAAUUCGCCCUCACGAAGCUGGAUUCCGUAGUAAUCGCGGAUCAACAGUCCGCGGUGAAUAUGCCCCUGCUCUUUGCACACACCGCCUGUCAAGCCAUCCGAGUUGGUUUUGGAUGAGGGCCCACUUUUUGGUGGGUUCGAAUCCAAGAUCGAUGAGGAGGGCUAAGUCAUAACAAGGUAUCCGUAGGGGAACCUGCGGCUGGAUCACCUCC